UGAAAUGCAGGUGCAGCUGGACAUUCUCCUGAGCUAUAAGCAUAUUUAUUUAGUCCCAUCAAGCGGAUUAAUACUUUUGCUGCAGCUAACAUAAAGGGAGUUUGACCAUAUUGGCUGACUGAUGCAGGAUUUCACAAGGGUCGGCAACGAUUCUUGUAAAACUCGAUCUCAAAUCAAGUAAGACUACCCGCUGAACUUAA
rnacentral:misc_RNA from 1 species